ensembl:lncRNA
AUGAAGAUUCUUCAGUUCAAGAUGAAGAUGAUCAUCUCCACCCUCUACCUGAUCUCAGGCCCAGUGUGCUGCUCUGAUGUGCUUGUCUACUCAGGAGGAAGUGUCAUUUUAUUCCCUAAUCUACAGUGGGAUGUAAACCAUGCACGAUAUAUUUGCAAGAUGGAGCAAAAUAGCUGCCUAGAAAUCAUAAAGGAUCAGAGUAAGAGCAAGUCUGUCACUAGCGGGAGGUUCACGAUCUAUUCAAAUACAGCAGGCAACUUUACAGUGUUGAUCAGAGAGCUGCACCCACAGGACUCUGCCGUCUACAGAUUUGGAGUUGGGAACGAAAAGCAUAAGGACGUUGAGCUGACCAUUCAGAGUGAUUCUUGUUGUGGGGGAAUUAAAAGAAUGAAAGCUUAUCUGGGAGAGACGGCCACCUUCAAAUGCAACUAUCCAGAUGAGUUCAAGACAAACAACAAGUACUUAAUCAACCUCAAUAAUCAAACUACUGUUAAAGAGAUAAUUUACACUGGAAAAGAGGCUCAGAAAGAGCAGAAAGACAGAUUCUCCAUCUUUGAUGACAGAAGCUCUAAAGUCGUCAGUGUGAACAUCAGUGAUGUGAGAGAAGAUGAUGGAGGAGUUUAUCUGUGUGGAGUGUGGAAGAAGGACACAUUAGUGGGUUAUUACUCCUACUUCAAAGAGAUUCAGCUCCAAGUGACUGAAAAAUCAACUGCGCUACCAGAAAGUCCAAGCACAACUGUGGAUCGGACUACAGCUACAACCUACUGGACCACAUCAACAGCAGCACUGCCAGCAGCAGAAACAUCUGCUCAACAUCUCCGUAAGAACGCAGUCCUUAUUCAUAUCUCCUUCUUCUAUUCUAUCCAUCCAUCCAUCCAUCCAUUUUCUAAGCCGCUUCUCCGUCAGGGUCGCGGGGGGGGAGCUGGAGCCUAUCCCAGCAGUCUUCGGGCGGAAGGCAGGAAACACCCUGGACAGGUCGCCAGUCCAUCGCAGGUCUUUUAUUCUAUUUUAUGUUAAAUGUAUUCAGGCAGGAGUUCAGUGGUUUAGGCUCCACACCAGGAACUGAAACUGAUGUGGAGCUGGAGGGUUCUUGUUUUGCUGGCUGUCUUGAUGCUGUGGGUUUUAAAACCCUUACCAUGCAAAAAGACAUCCUGAGGUCUUCAAACCAAGCAGAAACUGAUCAGUGGCACUACUGUAUACUGACCCUCCUGUGACUAGAGUGUGUUAGACCCAAAAGCUUAAGUCAUACAUGUGUGUGAUUAAUGUAAGGACAUUCUAAAUCGACUAAUCCUGAGUCUCUGAGUCUCUCAUCUCCAGGUUCCUCUGUCAUCAUCACUGUAUUUGUCUGUGUGGCUCUGUUGCUGAUUGGAGGAUCAGCACUGAUCGUCCACAAACUGAGGAACCACAUGAUACAGGGUAUGCAAAUUACAGUUUUACAUGGUGUCCUUUAGUCCCCCAUUCCAAAACUAAUGCUGAAGUCUCCCUCUAGAGGACAAAGAUGAAUACACACAAAUAUCUGUAUGACUGAUGUUUGGAUUUGAUCUAUUGUCACAGUCUCAGCCUUGACUGGCCAGAGAACAGACAAAAAUAAAGUGAGUUAAAUCUGUUGCUCAAUUAAGGCAAAAAAAUUUCUGUCAGAAGUGUCUUUUCUGCAUCUCAGCAUAAAAUUCACUGUAUGUGAGCAGCAGACCGUUUAGUUGUAUUAAGUGCCCUCAUCUGAUUUCAGGAUGAUGAUGAUGAUGAUGAUUAUGAAAACGUUCCACAUGGAAAGCGAUACGACAUCAGCAUGAUUCCAGUCCACCAGAGCCUAAACCCCAACAGAUCAGAUUUAGUCUAUGAGAACCCUGAUCCAAACACCAACCAAUCAGAUUCUGACUAUGAGAACAUAGCUGAGAACACCAACCAAUCGGAUUUCAUUUAUGAGAAUGUGAACAUCAAUAGCAGUGGAUGAGGGUAUUUCACAAAGCAGGGGUUCUCAGCUACAACAUAAGAACCAGUGAUAACUGCCCAUUAGAAAUGUUCUCUUCUCAUAUUGGUCAAAACUAGACUUUUGGUUCGAGUUGUCUGAGAAAUUUACCAAAGACCUUCAAAUUCAGGUCAAUUUGAACUUUCAGUAGUCUCAGUUUUCUCCCAGCCUUAUCAUAAAAAUAAAUGUGUGUGUUUGUUUUUUGGUUUAAUGGCCUGUUUUUAUCCAGUGUAACUGUACUUGUCUAAGAUUGCCACAAAGAGAAAGAAAUCAGGAAUAAUUUAGCUGGAGUUAAAUACAUAUAACUGCAAAAUUGAGAAGCCUUAUUGCUUUAU